rnacentral:rRNA from 1 species
GGCUCAGGACGAACGCUGGCGGCAUGCCUAAUACAUGCAAGUCGAACGCUGAAGCACUCUGCUUGCAGAGUGCGGAUGAGUGGCGAACGGGUGAGUAACACGUGGGAAAUCUGCCUAAGAGUGGGGGGAUAACAUUCGGAAACGGAUGCUAAUACCGCAUAUAUUCUCGAACCGCAUGGUUCUGGAAAGAAAGACGGCUUUGCUGUCGCUUUUAGAUGAUCCCGCGGCGUAUUAGUUAGUUGGUGGGGUAAUGGCCUACCAAGACCAUGAUACGUAGCCGACCUGAGAGGGUGAUCGGCCACACUGGGACUGAGACACGGCCCAGACUCCUACGGGAGGCAGCAGUAGGGAAUCUUCCACAAUGGGUGCAAACCUGAUGGAGCAAUGCCGCCGUGAAUGAAGAAGGUCUUCGGAUCGUAAAGUUCUGUUAUUAGAGAAGAACAAGUCGAGGAGUAACUGUUUCGACUUUGACGGUACCUAACCAGAAAGUCACGGCUAACUACGUGCCAGCAGCCGC